AAUAGAUACCCAGGUAGUCCUAGCCGUAAACGAUGAGCACUGGGUUGAAGGGUCCUCCAUAGCCUUUCAGCCGUAGCGAAAGUGUUAAGUGCUCCGCCUGGGGAGUAUGGUCGCAAGGCUGAAACUCAAAGAAAUUGACGGGGGCUCACACAAGCGGUGGAGGAUGUGGCUUAAUUCGAGGCUACGCGAAGAACCUUAUCCUAGUCUUGACAUGCACGGAUUAACUCCCUGAAAGGGGAGCCACGCCUUCGGGUGGAACGUGCACAGGUGCUGCAUGGCUGUCGUCAGCUCGUGCUGUGAAGUGUCGGGUUAAGUCCCUUAACGAGCGAAACCCUUGUCGCUAGUUGCCAGCGAGUCAUGUCGGGGACUCUAGCGAGACCGCCGGUGUUAAACCGGAGGAAGGUGGGGAUGACGUCAAGUCCUCAUGGCCUUUAUGACUAGGGCUGCACACGUCCUACAAUGGCAUGCACAAAGGGACGCAAAGUCGCGAGACCAAGCAAAUCCCAAAAAACAUGCCCCAGUUCGGAUUGCGAC
rnacentral:rRNA from 1 species